rnacentral:rRNA from 1 species
UGGGGAAUAUUGGGCAAUGGACGCAAGUCUGACCCAGCGACGCCGCGUGCGGGAUGAAGGCCUUCGGGUUGUAAACUGCUUUCAGCAGGGAAGAAGCGAAAGUGACGGUACCUGCAAAAGAAGCACCGGCUAACUAUGUGCCAGCAGCCGCGGUAAUACAUAGGGUGCAAGCGUUGUCCGGAAUUAUUGGGCGUAAAGAGCUCGUAGGUGGUUUGCCACGUCGGAUGUGAAAACCUGAGGCUUAACCUCAGGCCUGCAUUCGAUACGGGCAGACUAGAGUGUGGUAGGGGAGACUGGAAUUCCUGGUGUAGCGGUGAAAUGCGCAGAUAUCAGGAGGAACACCGAUGGCGAAGGCACCACUCUGGGCCGAAACUGACGCUGAGGAGCGAAAGCGUGGGUAGCAAACAGG